GAUGAACGCUGGCGGCGUGCCUAAUACAUGCAAGUCGAGCGAACAGACGAGGAGCUUGCUCCUCUGACGUUAGCGGCGGACGGGUGAGUAACACGUGGAUAACCUACCUAUAAGACUGGGAUAACUUCGGGAAACCGGAGCUAAUACCGGAUAAUAUAUUGAACCGCAUGGUUCAAUAGUGAAAGACGGUUUUGCUGUCACUUAUAGAUGUAUCCGCGCUGCAUUAGCUAGUUGGUAAGGUAACGGCUUACCAAGGCAACGAUGCGUAGCCGACCUGAGAGGGUGAGCGGACAAACUGGAACUGAGACACGGUCCAGACUCCUACGGGAGGCAGCAGUAGGGAAAUUUCCGCAAUAGGCGAAAGCCUGACGGAGCAAAGCCGCGUGAGUGAUGAAGAUCUUCGGAUCGUAAAACUCUGUGAUUAGAGAAGAACAAAUGAGUAAGUAACUAUGCACGGCUUGACAGUACCUAAUCAGAAAGCCAAGGCUAACUACGUG
rnacentral:rRNA from 1 species